rnacentral:rRNA from 1 species
AUUGAACGCUGGCGGCAGGCCUAACACAUGCAAGUCGAACGAGUGGCGGACGGGUGAGUAAUGUCUGGGAAACUGCCUGAUGGAGGGGGAUAACGUCCGGAAACGGGCGCUAAUACCGCAUACUAUCAGAUGUGCCCAGAUGGGAUUAGCUUGUUGGUGGGGUAACGGCUCACCAAGGCGACGAUCCCUAGCUGGUCUGAGAGGAUGACCAGCCACACUGGAACUGAGACACGGUCCAGACUCCUACGGGAGGCAGCAGUGGGGAAUAUUGCACAAUGGGCGCAAGCCUGAUGCAGCCAUGCCGCGUGUAUGAAGAAGGCCUUCGGGUUGUAAAGUACUUUCAGCGGGGAGGCGUUACCCGCAGAAGAAGCACCGGCUAACUCCGUGCCAGCAGCCGCGGUAAUAC